rnacentral:rRNA from 1 species
UGGGGAAUAUUGGGCAAUGGGCGCAAGCCUGACCCAGCCAUGCCGCGUGAGUGAUGAAGGCCUUAGGGUUGUAAAACUCUUUCAGAUGUGAAGAUGAUGACAUUAACAUCAGAAGAAGCUCCGGCUAACUUCGUGCCAGCAGCCGCGGUAAUACGAAGGGAGCUAGCGUUGUUCGGAUUUACUGGGCGUAAAGGGCAUGUAGGCGGUCUGGUAAGUUAGAGGUGAAAGCCCGGAGCUUAACUCCGGAACUGCCUUUGAUACUAUCAGACUUGAGACUAAGAGAGGAUAGCGGAAUAUCCAGUGUAGAGGUGAAAUUCGUAGAUAUUGGAUAGAACACCAGAGGCGAAGGCGGCUAUCUGGCUUAGUACUGACGCUGAGAUGCGAAAGCGUGGGGAGCAAA